rnacentral:rRNA from 1 species
CCUACGGGAGGCAGCAGUAGGGAAUAUUGCUCAAUGGGGGAAACCCUGAAGCAGCAACGCCGCGUGGAGGAUGAAGGUUUUCGGAUUGUAAACUCCUUUUGUUAGAGAAGAUAAUGACGGUAUCUAACGAAUAAGCACCGGCUAACUCCGUGCCAGCAGCCGCGGUAAUACGGAGGGUGCAAGCGUUACUCGGAAUCACUGGGCGUAAAGAGCGCGUAGGCGGGAUAGCAAGUCAGAUGUGAAAUCCUAUGGCUUAACCAUAGAACUGCAUUUGAAACUGUUAUUCUAGAGUAUGGGAGAGUUAGGUGAAAUUCUUGGUGUAGGGGUAAAACCGGAAGAAAUAAAGAGGAAUACUAAUUGCGAAG